AGUAGAAUUGCUGGAUCAUAUGGUAGUUCUAUUUUUAAUUUUUUGAGGAACCUCCAUACUAUUUUCCAUAAUGGCUCUACUAAUUUACAUUCCCACAACAGU
rnacentral:pre_miRNA from 1 species